UCUUCUCUCUUACAGGGCACUGGGUUUGCAUCACUGGUCACCACUACCUUGUUUGUCUGUCUUCUAUUGGGUGUUGGUUUUCUGAGGAGGAUGUGAGCAUUCUAGUUACUGAUGGGGCCCCUGUCAUGGGGGGGAAAGGGCCAUGAGUAUUGUGUAAAUUGGGGAUCUGAGUCCAGAACUGAGGGAAUGGGCUGUGGUAAGUGCGCCCUGUUUGGUUUACAUGGUUCCUGGUAAUGGUAGUGCCAGUGGGAGCAGAGGAACUGCUUGCAUCCAUGAGGUACUUAAGAGGCUUUGGGAGGUGCAGUUUGUGAAAGAAUGUCGUGCAAGCAGUGGAGGAUCUGAGUCUUGCCUGUUCCUGAGAUGAAGUGGAAAUUGACACAAGUUUGGAUAGAAGAUAGAUGUGAGGCUAGACCUGGUGGGGAAAAAGAGUUCUGUGUGAAGAUGGGGGUCCAAUUUGCCAAAGAACCAGUGAAGUUGAAGUAUGGCUGUGGGGGACAUGAAGUACUUGUUUCCUGGAAUGGAAGUUAAUUUGAUGUCAAGUUUGCAAGUUAAGUAUGGUUAUUGAUCAUGUUUUUUUGUUGGUCUGUUUGAUGUUGGAGAUGGGAAAUGUGUUUCACUGGAUGCAUGUCAAUGGGAAUCUCACGUGCUUUUGUUGUGUUUGUUUUAGAAACUGAGAUGUUUAGUAUUUGUUCUGUGGAUGUUGAACGUGUGCAUCUUUUUUCUCAUUCUCAUAGGAAGCUAUUUCCAUCUGUGCAGUCAGAAGGUAUCAGUGUCAGCGGAGAAGACUUUGGUGUGCUUUGUUUGGAAGAAUUGGGCUUAGAUUGUAUAUGUUUUGGGUUGCGAUGUGAAGUGUUGUCUGUUUGAUGGCUAGAAUGUAGUGGAGCAGCGGGGCUAGUGUCACUGUGUUCUGGUAGAUACCAGAGCUACUGCUAUCAUGAAAUGGCAUUAUUGUCAUUUCUGCUAUCCCAAUUGGAGAGGUUGGGUUCAUUUGCUUGGUCAGUUAUGUGAAGUAGUUCCUGUAAUUACUUGGACAAAAUCUAAUGUACUUUUGAAAGGAGUGGCUUGUUUGUCACUUGGAAUGUUCUAGCCAUCAAAGUUGCAAGAGGACACUGUUAUGGGUUGUAUCAUUCUUUGGGCAUUCUGAAGUGUUUGUCAAUUGUCUUCAUAUUGUUGCGUAUGCUGUAUUUGUAGAGUUGUAAUGUAUAGGUUGGGGUGUGGUUAGAUGACUCAUUUUGUCAUCCACAUUGUUGCCUGCUAAAUCACUGCAGUGAUUUUGAAACCAUGGUGCAGUGCAGUCAAACAGCUGGAAGGCUGACAUUGUUACAAAUUUGUCAGCCUUUUGGCUGUUUAGCUGCACUGCACCAUGGUUGGGACUGUCCCGGACAGUCUUUGACUUAACUUUUCACAUGUGGAGGUGCUAUAGAGGGAGCAUGCUGGCCAGCUGCUAGGUGAGGUAUGGUCAAGUCCCAGUCCCACAUCUCACAAUAGAUUCAAGGUUUUGUACAGGUGAUGGGUGAUGUUUUGAAGCAUAUGGAAAUUAAAUGCCAGUGUUGCUUUUGGUAUAUGGUAAUUGUGGUGUUAUGUAAUGAUUAUAUGAAUGUAUGUGAAAUAAAACAUUGUCCAGUACUGCACACACAUUCAGUGACAGUGUCCAAUUUUUGCAAGCUGU